UCGGUCCCACUGACACUGACCGAUUCCGAAUCUUUCCACCGAUAGGCGAAGCUCGAGCAGAACUUCCUUUUGCUCGGCACUUGGCGCUUCUCUAGCCCUUCAACAAGAUCGGGACCCUUGGCCGAGAGCGCGUCCUCCUGGAGAACAGCGCGCGCAAUCUCGUUUCCACAACACGGCCAGUUUCGUGCGGUACGUCAUCAGCAGACCAAAGCAUGGAGCUGAUCGGGGGGUUGGAAAAUCGAAAAUUGGCACCACCAAGAAAGGACCCCCCCUCCUCUCAAAACCCACGAUUGGAUGGAGUCUGGGUGCCAAACUCAAUUUGGUGUUUGAUGUGCGGGAAGAUUCUACCUGUCUAUCGGCCAAACCCAUCCAUUGAAUGGUGGGUCCCCAGGGCAUGCUUGGCGGCACUUUCAUUCGGAAUAUCUUGUCACCAGACUUGACAUCGGACUACUCGGACAAGAUUCUUAUGGUAGAUCCAAUUUGGGCAUUUUGGCGAAGGUUUCCACUAUGGAGGAUUUUCACAUCGCCUUCAAUCUUGCUCUCAUCAAUGGCCCUGGAGUCGAAGCGAGAGAGAAAGAGAGAUCCCUCCACCCCCAGUGCCACCGCCCCUUGCUUACAUCGCUCGCCAUGCUCGCCAUGCUCGCCAUGCUUGCCACAACUCCAUUUGGACGGGAAUGGAUCAUUGAUGAUCAUGGGGGAAAAGGCAGAAGCCAUUGGAAUCGCAUUCUCGACUCUUCAUUACGAUACGUAUCGAGAGAGUGUCUUUUAUGAUAAUGGGUUCGCCAAAUCAAUACGGAGUGCUUUUUCCCAUGGAUUUGCUUGCUCGUAUUGUCUCCUUGCAUACUGAGCGUGGAUUUUGAAUGGAAAGUGAUGUUGGGAAGAAUUACCAUGACAAAACCACGUUCCGACAAUGCAAGGCUAUCCGAUGAGACAAAUUUGAUAUUGAAGCGACGUUCUUUACACGGCUAUCGAUCCUGUCGUCCGAGCCAAAUGAAGGUCGGCUUGGGCUGCGAACCAUAAUUACUUCAUAUAAUUCAAGCCAUCCCAUUCAUCAAUGUCAGAGGUAAAUGCUUUGAAGCAAUUGAAUGCCAGCUUUGCACCUAGAAUAGAACAGAUGCCUCUGAUGUGAGCGAGUGCUGGCUUCCAAGUGAGAUUGACAAGACAGAUAGCAAGAGAGGUGUAUCAGACUACACGGAUCACACCCGGAUAGGAAGGGAUCACCCAAAGCGAUGCCAUGAAGUGUUCAUUGCUUGUGACGGCGAAUGGUGAAAAACGAUCUACCUCUCACUCACCUUGAGCCAUUCCCAAUUUGCAUCCAAGUUCUCGGUUUCACACCAUGACAGACGAUGAGAGAUGGUUCUGUCUGAUCGAUAUUGGAACGGACGCGGAUCCCUCCAAACACCCAGAAAUCCUCCUUGGAUUUCUGGACCACUGAACGAGAGAGUACAGUGUGGUGCUCUCAGUGGAUGAUAAAGAAAUUGUUGGCCCUGGAAGUGCUGACUCGAGCAACCCACAAGCUAUCAAAACCCUUUCCGUGCCGUAUCUUAUCUAAGAUCAAUCAAACUUGGCGAUGACCAUUUGUGGAUGGUCUCGUGGUUAAGCUCAAACAACAGCGAGGAAGAAUGGCAAGUCAGAGCAAAUUGAUAUCUUGUAGGCGUCACAACAUGGACAUCUUCACACUAUGACAAGGAUGACGGAGAGUGAAUUGGCGGCCAUCUGUCAAUCGCUCCAGAUACGCCGAAACCAUCUUGCUCGAUUAGAUAGUGUGAUACUGUAGUUUGCAAACUCAAGAGCGAGCUGAGGCACCGUUUCGUUUUAAUGGCUUCCAAAGCUCUAUCAACCAACUCUGGAGUGCCCUUCCCCAUCUCCCCAAAGCUCACAAAUAGAAUGACUAUUUGAAAAACCUUCCAGUUUUGCGGUCAACCAAUCUGAGUUUAAUGGCUGGAGGCAUCGGGUGAGAAUGUUUGGUAGCUUUGGACGGCUGUUCUUGUCUGGACCAUAGACAAGUGGGUGUGUCUGGAAGUGUCCUAUACAAUAUGAGCUUUAUUCUGAACAGCUUUUGGAUUUACGUGAUCAAAUGGAGAUUGCAUGGGACGGGUUUACGUCAGUUGCGUGUGGCAGAGGGUGACAAACGAUCAAUUCAACCCUCUCCAUUUCUCUUACUACAUUGGCCCACACAACCUGAACCGUUUCCAAAAUGCUUCUAUCCACGCGGAAUCGUUUCCCAAUACAUCAAAAAAUGUUAGAAAGUAUACUUGGUGCUUGACAAGUUUAUGAACACAAGGACCAAAACCAAAAAAACCACCAAAAUAGGCCUCCUGUGGGUUCUAAGAUGAGCUCAUUUACUUUCCAACAAUGCACGAACAAAUUUCUUUUGUUCUUAUUUCGAAAAUGAAAACGUACUGAUUGAAUUUGA